rnacentral:misc_RNA from 1 species
AAUUCGUAACAAUGUUUCCGUAGGUAAACCUGCGGAAGGAUCAUUAACACGUAUCCAAACGUUAAAACAACCCUGUGAACAUCAAAACAGCAAUCCCGAGUAAAUCAGGCGCUAAAGAAUUACAGAUUUUGAUUUUGGGCAGUUCUGUGUGAACGUGGACGCUGCAAUUGAGCGCUAGAUAAAGCACCCUGCUACCCUAGAGCACUCCCUGUAGGGAUCAAUGUUCAGGGUGGCGCAGUCAACGAUCGCUGUAGGUCCACACGACCGGCGACCGGGGUGCCCCUACCUCAUUCCUAUGUACCCUCCGGGACUUGGCGAAAGCUGACUCCGUCAUAAAUCGAACAACUGUUAACAAUGGAUAUCUUGGUUCUC